rnacentral:rRNA from 1 species
GACGAACGCUGGCGGCGUGCUUAACACAUGCAAGUCGAACGGAAAGGCCCUGCUUUUGUGGGGUGCUCGAGUGGCGAACGGGUGAGUAACACGUGAGUAACCUGCCCUUGACUUUGGGAUAACUUCAGGAAACUGGGGAUAAUACAGGAUAGGAGCUCCUGCUGCAUGGUGGGGGUUGGAAAGUUUCGGCGGUUGGGGAUGGACUCCCGGCUUAUCAGCUUGUUGGUGGGGUAGUGGCUUACCAAGGCUUUGACGGGUAGCCGGCCUGAGAGGGUGACCGGCCUCAUUGGGACUGAGAUACGGCCCAGACUCCUACGGGAGGCAGCAGUGGGGAAUAUUGCACAAUGGGCGGAAGCCUGAUGCAGCAACGCCGCGUGCGGGAUGACGGCCUUCGGGUUGUAAACCGCUUUCGCCUGUGACGAAGCGUGAGUGACGGUAAUGGGUAAAGAAGCACCGGCUAACUACGUG